UCCGUAGGUGAACCUGCGGAAGGAUCAUUAGUGAAUUUGUAGCCUCAAAGGCUCACAUUCUCUAUCCUUUACACACCUGUGCACCCUUCUGAAGCGGAGAGUUAUUAGGCAUUAGCCGAGCGCCUCCCUUCGGUUAUUAUAUCAACCUCAAACUACGUUUACUAGAAUGUAUACUGUCUUGUUGUAACGACAAGUACAAUCCAAUAAAACUUUCAGCAACGGAUCUCUUGGCUCAGGCAUCGAUGAAGAACGCAGCGAAAUGCGAUAAGUAAUGUGAAUUGCAGAAUCCAGUGAAUCAUCGAAUCUUUGAACGCAACUUGCGCCCUCUGGUAUUCCGGAGGGCAUGCCUGUUUGAGUGUCGUGAACACCUCAACCCUCCAAUGUUUUUGCAUUGAAGGCGUUGGUAGUGAGCGCUGCCGGACUUCGGAUCGGCUCGCUUUAAAAUCAUUAGCUGGAUCCAUUCUGACCUGGUUCUACUCGGCGUAAUAAGUUAUUAUCGUCGAGGACGCUUGGCCUUCUAGGCUGGCGGCCACAGUAAGGGUGUUUGAACCGCUUCUAACGCGUCUUGCUCUUGUAGCAAACACUUGAACCUCUGACCUCAAAUCAGGCAGGACUACCCGCUGAACUUAAGCAUAUCAAUAAGCGGAGGAAAAGAAACUAACAAGGAUUCCCCUAGUAACGGCGAGUGAAGCGGGAACAGCUCAAAUUUGAAACCUGGCGUCCUUAGGGCGUCCGGAUUGUAUUCUAGAGAAGCGUCUUCCACGCUGGUCCACGUAUAAGUGCCCUGGAACGGGCUGUCAUAGAGGGUGAGAAUCCCGUCCUUGACGUGGGCUACCAGUGUUUUUGUGAUGCGCUUUCUAAGAGUCGAGUUGUUUGGGAAUGCAGCUCAAAGUGGGUGGUAAAUUCCAUCUAAAGCUAAAUAUUGGCCUGAGACCGAUAGCGAACAAGUACCGUGAGGGAAAGAUGAAAAGCACUUUGAAAAGAGAGUCAAACAGUACGUGAAAUUGCUGAAAGGGAAACGCUUGAAGU
rnacentral:sRNA from 1 species